CUGCCCACCUCUCACAGCUCCUUCCCUUUCUUCUGCUGUCUGACUUGGCCCCGUCCCUCACUCUCGAUGUUAACCUUCCUCCCACACCUUCUGUGCUCUCCCUCCCCUCCAUUUUGCUUCCCUGUCACUCCAGCAGCAGAAAUCAAAGCACCACCCCUGUCCCCUGAUGGAAUUUCGGAGCCGCAUCAGCUGAGUGGGAAUCCAACCAGGAAAAGCAUCAGAAUUGAUUCUCAUGGAGGCCAAUACCAGCAAAUGACUUUAACUCCUCUUAAAGUAACUUUGAGUUGCUUGACCAGAUUUUCUGGAGACCAGCGCACAACCAUUAUGGCCAAGAUCAACCCUAGAGAAAGAAUAAACCUGAGCAGACAGAAGUUUUCCCAGGUCAGCUGUAAUGGAAAUGCCUACGCUGGACUGGAAGAGGAGAUCCUUCAGACCAAUCAAUCACAUCACUUCCAGAAUUGCUCGUUUGAGGUAAGAAAAACUAUAGUGAGGUUAUUUAGCCAUGUAAAUACUGGAUUUCCACUCAACCCUCUAAAGCAUGUUUCUCUGUC
rnacentral:lncRNA from 1 species